UACGGAGGGUGCAAGCGUUAUCCGGAUUUACUGGGUUUAAAGGGUGCGUAGGUGGGUAAGUAAGUCAGUGGUGAAAUCUUCGAGCUUAACUCGGAAACUGCCAUUGAUACUAUUUAUCUUGAAUACUUUGGAGGUAAGCGGAAUAUGUCAUGUAGCGGUGAAAUGCUUAGAUAUGACAUAGAACACCAAUUGCGAAGGCAGCUUACUACACAGUUAUUGACACUGAGGCACGAAAAGCGUGGGGGAUCAAACAGG
rnacentral:rRNA from 1 species